AUUGAACGCUGGCGGCAGGCCUAACACAUGCAAGUCGAACGAGUGGCGGACGGGUGAGUAAUGUCUGGGAAACUGCCCGAUGGAGGGGGAUAACUACUGGAAACGGUAGCUAAUACCGCAUACCAUCGGAUGUGCCCAGAUGGGAUUAGCUUGUAGGUGAGGUAACGGCUCACCUAGGCGACGAUCCCUAGCUGGUCUGAGAGGAUGACCAGCUCCACUGGAACUGAGACACGGUCCAGACUCCUACGUGAGGCAUCAGUGGGGAAUAUUGCACAAUGGGCGCAAGCCUGAUGCAGCCAUGCCGCGUGUAUGAAGAAGGCCGUCUGGUUGUAAAGUACUUUCAGUGUGGAGGCGUUACCCGCAGAAGAAGCACCUGCUAACUCCGUGCCAGCAGCCGCGGUAAUUC
rnacentral:rRNA from 1 species